CCGCGCGGGGCAGCUGUGCGGGAGGAAGUGGCCAGCUCAGGGCCUUAGGGGAGCCUGAGGGGCGGGUGGGGCGAUGGCGGGCUCAGACGAGGCGGGGGGCCUGGGGGCCCCCGGAGGAAGGUUCAGGGGGCGAGUAGGUGUGGGGGGAGCCGUCCAGAGGGGAGCUUCGUGGAAAGGAGCCGUCACGAGGCGGCCGGCGGCGCCCGUCCAGGCCUCGCUCUGCCUGUGGGCGCCGGGCACGGCCUCGGGGAGGGAGGUGCCGCCCGUGGGCUGAGUGCCCGCGGGGCCCGGCUCGGGAGGGAGGCAGAGAGGACAGGAGGAGGCAGGGUGUUGCCACCCUGCGGGAGGCCAGGCGGGACCGGGUGGCGGGUGCCCUGAGUGUGGGGAGGAAGCAGUGGGUGCCGGGCCCAGGUGGCCGGGCGGGCUGGCCUUGACCUUGUCACACCAGCAGCCCCCUUUCUUCCAGACCAAGGGUGUGCACCCGCCCGGGGAUGAGGCCUGGUCUUGUGGAAUUGAACUUAGCUCCGCGGGCCGGCGGCUCGGCCCAGGGUGGUGGCAGUGCUCCCCCUUGGACUUGCCCUGUAGGUUCGGUGCUAGCCGCUCUGCCCCUCCUCCCUUUACCUCUCUCGAGGUUUCCCUUCACUUAAAACCUUGCUUCUGGUGACCUGGUAAGCCCGGGAGGUGCCGAGGGCCCUGCUGGAGUCGGUAUUGCUGGUAACCUCGACGGAGAGGCUGUCCCUGCCGAGACGGGUGGGGCGGGCUGGUGUCGCUGGCCGGUGGAGAGGGCGGGAUUGCACGGGCACCCGGGGCUGGGCCCGCAGCGAUGGGACCAGCUGGGAGUCCCUCAUGGACCGUGGUUUGUUACCAUAGUGUUCUUCACGGCGACCAGAUGGCACCAGCAGACAUGGAGCCCCUGGCCAGUGUGAGUCGUAGCAGAGGAGAGAGCUCGCCUAAGUUGAUGGCUGCAGAUUGAAUUUCCAGAGUCUUAGGAGGAGGAAGUUCUCCAAUGGCAUGUUUCCAGGCCUUGCUCAGGAAGCCCUGUGUUCAGGAGCCCCUCAGUUAAGGUUUCAGAUGAGCUUCUGCGGGGGGCAAUCUUAAAGUCCAAAUCAGAUGCUCCGGGCCACCAGCAGAUGCGUUUAUUUGAAUCUUGAUCUUGGAGCACCAACCUCCGGGCCCAUGAAUGCCAGCAGGCACCCCUCCUUUUUUGGGUGGAGGUUUUCAGAUGCUGCAUCUUCUGUAUUGAGCCUCCUGUCAUGCUAGUUCUCUGCUACGAACCUUGCUUCCAGAAGAUUCUUAAGCUGUAGAACAUUUUAACGUUGAUGUCGCAACGGAGAGUGAUGCCUUGUAGAUGGAACUUGCAGAUGGAGCCCAGUGAUCCUCUCACCUACCCACCCACCCGCCUGCCUGCCUGUGCUUUGGUCGGAGGAAUUCUUAGUGUGAUGAUGGAACUGUGGGAAGUGCCUUGGGCAAAGGCUUGGAUGAAGCAAGUUGGGGUGGGGAUGAUUGGAGUGUGUGCAGCCUGGUGGGGUACAAGUUGGUCAUGUCCAAAUUCUGUUAGAAACGGCAGGUGUAGUUUGGGCAUUUCCAUUGCAUCGCAGGUUACAAAGAGGGGAAUGGUCGGGUACUGGCGGUGAUCUUUGGUUCAUCUUGCUGUAUUUUAACUUGAAUUCUACUUGAUUAGAUUUCAAAAUAAUCUUGGUAUUCAAGGGGGAUCCUCCCUGAGGUGAGGGUAGUAAGAGGGAAAGGGUACAGCUUGACACUGGUAUUGGGGGGAGUGAAGAAAGGGAAGAGGGGUGAUUAGCUCUAUGGCAGAGGGUGGGGCUGUAGGGAAUAUGGGGGAAGGGAAUUCUCUGGGGAAAGGGAGGUGCUGGGAGGGGUGGGUUGGAAAAAAGAAGAGGAUGGGUUAUAUUACAGAGGGUGAGGGUGGUAGGGAAUGUGGGUUGAGGGGGAUUUUCUGGAGAAAACAUCGGUGGGGAGAGCUCUGGAGAAUUUAAUAGCUGGUGGGUAAAGAAAAUACUACUUAAUAUUAGUGAAUUGUUCACGCUAGUUGAAUUGUUGCUUGGAAGCACAAAAGUUCAUUGGAAACUUGCUAAAGCACUUAGAACUCUCGUGCAGAGGAGAAAGCAAAAUUGUUUUGCAUUGCUGCAAGGUGGGGAAGGCCCAAGACCUGUGUCAGUCGCUUUGAAAGAUGGGUGUCAAAACCUUGCAGCAGGGUAUUAACGUCCUUCACUGCUAAGUGGUUUAUCUGAAGCUGUGAAGCUGAGUCUGAGAAAAGGCUUUCAAUGCUCAAAUUGUGGGCUUUUAAAGUAUUUAAAUUUGGGGGAAAAAUUUGAGAUUUUGGUGUACACGAGAUUAGACGUACGCUUUUGGGGUUACUCUUCUGGGUUUGUAACUCGUUUUUGGUCACAGAUUUUCUGAUUGAAAAUUCGGAGCAAAGUGAAAAAUGAUUUCUAAAGGAAUUUUGUAUGUCAAUAUUGUACCUUAUAAACAAAUCGCUUGUCUUUUGUAGUCAGUAGUAAAAGUUUUUGCUUAAGAUUAUCUUUACAUAGUCAUUGUAACAAGGAGAAUCAAAUAACCUUUUGUGGUCACUGUAAAAUUACUGUAAUAUUUGGUAACAAUUCAUGUACCAAGGUUAGAUCAUCUAUCAUGUCUUCAGUUUGAAAGUUUGCUUUUUAAAUGAUCCACUACUACAGGGGAAACUUUCAGCGAAAAUCAGUUUGGGGAGUGAGAACAAAAAUGUGGUGGGAGGCUUUGCUAGGUGCGGUGUAGCACUUGUUGGAGAUGCAUCUAUUGGUAAAGUAACCAGUGGCUUUUUGUUACCAUGUCUCUCUUCUCCUUAAAUUUCACCUUAGAAAUUUUAAAUCCCCAAUACUUUUGACUUUGAGAUUCUUGUUUUCUGGAUUUAAAAAAAUGUUUUCAAAUAUGUUGGCAUGAUAGUUGCGUUCUUAACCAGAGACUUGGGCGUGACACGGUUACUGACUGUCCUUGGAAUUAAGAGUGUUAUGCAUGUAUGGGGAAAUAGGUUGGGUAAGAACUAGUACUGUUGCCUCAUGUAUGUGACUAAUCAUUUUUCUUCCCCAUUUCAGCACAAAUAAAGGUUUGAGCUCUAAACUCAUUAGAA